UGCCAACAUAUCCUGCAUCAUUCAGAAGUUGUAUUGUGGAAGUGAUAGAUGAUUGAAUAGGAGGCACAGGAAAUAAGUCAUCGAAAGUAUAGAUCUUUAAUCAAAACUUCCUAAAUAUUUCAGCGAUUUUUCGUGGCAUAAUAAUAGUUGGGUGGAUUAGAUUUUAAAUGAAUAAUGACGACAUCCAUGCAAUUGAUUAACAAUGAAGCCGGUUCCACCCACUUUCCCGUCAAGAUACGCAGGGAGGUUCGAAGCACCAAAAGGUUACGGGGUCAUAUGACAGAUCGGAAGUCAAAUUUCGAAUGAUCGUGACUUACCAGCCAAUCUGUCGCAAAGAAUGUAUAAUAAUAUUGUCAACCUCCUCCAUGGCACAUUAGUGAUGUAAAAUACGUUUAAAUGAACGUUAAACAGCUCA